CCGAGUCGAGAACUCCCAAACCCCCUGCGAACCGUACCGACGUUGCCUCGGCGGGCCGCCUUCCGCGCCCGCCGGAGGACCCCAAGGCUCCCGCUUGCGCCGCGUCUGCCCUCUGAGUGACGAAGAAAUGAGUCAAAACUUUCAACAACGGAUCUCUUGGUUCUGGCAUCGAUGAAGAACGCAGCGAAAUGCGAUAAGUAAUGUGAAUUGCAGAGUCCAGUGAAUCAUCGAAUCUUUGAACGCACAUUGCGCCCGCCAGGACUCUGGCGGGCAUGCCUGUCCGAGCGUCGUUCCAACACUCGAGCCCCCCCGGGGGCCCGGUGCUGGGGGGCGCGGCCCGCCGCGGCCGCCCCCCCGAAACGCAGUGGCGACCCCGCCGCGCCCUCCCCUGCGCAGUACCACAGCGCCUCGCAGGCGGAGCGCGGAGGCGGUCCCGCCGUAAAACGACCCCCCCACAAGAGUU
rnacentral:misc_RNA from 1 species